rnacentral:rRNA from 1 species
AGCAGUAGCCGCGGUAAUACGGAGGGAGCUAGCGUUGUUCGGAAUUACUGGGCGUAAAGCGCGCGUAGGCGGUUACUCAAGUCAGAGGUGAAAGCCCGGGGCUCAACCCCGGAACUGCCUUUGAAACUAGGUGACUAGAAUCUUGGAGAGGUCAGUGGAAUUCCGAGUGUAGAGGUGAAAUUCGUAGAUAUUCGGAAGAACACCAGUGGCGAAGGCGACUGACUGGACAAGUAUUGACGCUGAGGUUCGAAAGCGUGGGGAGCAAACAGGAUUAGAUACCCCCGUAGUCCCUGUCUCUUAUAA